AUGGAGGGUCUUCUGCAUUGGGACUUUGCCCCUGGCCUUGCCCUUGCGGAUCAGGUGAGGAGAAAAUUUGGUUCUACGGUUCAUUUCUCUCCCUCCCGUGACGCCAAAGAAUUCUUUCCGGUGGUCACGUUUUCCUCGGCCUCCUUUCCUCUCACGGUUGAUUCUGUUGGGGUUGCCCUCCAAUGUUGUCUUGGCUGUUCUUGUGUUGGUUUUAAAGUGGUGCAUAUUCAUCAUCGGGCGUUCAGAUUCUCGGUUGCAAACAACAAAGUUGGUCAUUUCAUAUAUGGCCUCAAGGAUCGCAUUUGGCCUGAUUUUAUUUGCCAUUUUCAUCUGUUUAAUGGUCGGUUUGUGAGGUACUCACACAUGCUCACCUCAUGGCACGCUGAUGAGGAACUAACUGAUAUCUCAGCCAGAAAACCUAUUGCGAUACGUUCUAAACUGCCUUCAUUGGAGCAUGGUGCUGGUCUAAGUUCGUCCUCUCUGCAUGAGUUGAGUAAGUUUGAUUUAGUGCCUUUGUCCAAGAUGGCCUUUUCCAAUUCGCAUCAUCAUGAAGCUUCGACAUCGACCUUGGCUCAUGAUCAAAAUCAAGUUCUGCAUGAUCCCUUGCUCCAUUCUCUUACUAUUGGAAAGAUUCAAUUAGCCAUUAAUGCCCAGGAGAAUAUUUCGGUCCCUGACUAUCGUACCAAUUUAAUGCUUCAUUAUCAAUAG
rnacentral:rRNA from 1 species